UCCCUGGUGGUCCAGUGGCUAAAACUCUGCACUCUCAAUGCAGGGGCCUGGGUUCAAUCCCUUGUCAGGGAA
rnacentral:tRNA from 1 species